UAGGGAAUCUUCCACAAUGGACGCAAGUCUGAUGGAGCAACGCCGCGUGAGUGAAGAAGGUCUUCGGAUCGUAAAACUCUGUUGUUAGAGAAGAACACGAGUGAGAGUAACUAGUUCAUUCGAUGACGGUAUCUAACCAGACAAGUCACGGCUAACUACGUGCCAA
rnacentral:rRNA from 1 species